rnacentral:lncRNA from 1 species
AUUACUCCAACGGCGUUUCAUCGGGACCCAUCAAAAGCUUUGAUAACCGUAUAGCUUCUUUUGAUCCUCUUGGGGUUGAUAUUCAUCUUCUCCAAGGUAGCAUAAGGACAAAUAUUUAGAGAUGAGCCUCCAUCUAUCAAGACUCCUCCUACCAUGUAUCUAGAGGACAAAACCGUUAUGUGCAACGACUUGCAAUGACCGAUCCCUUCAGUGAGUAUAUCGUCAUUAGUGAAAGAUAUCACAUUGUUGUUGAAAAUGUGAUCAACCAGAUGUUGAAUUUUUUCCACAUCCACUAAUUUCGAUAAAUGGGCUUCUUCUAAGACCCUUAGCAAUAUCUUCCUGUGAUCUUUGGAAGAGAAAACCAAGUCCUGUAUGGAAAUUUAUUAUGGAGCUUCUCUCAAGCUUAAAACCACUUUGGCUUCGUUAUGGCCCAUGGUACAGAGGAAUUCUUCAAUCUCCUCCAUAGGAACUUUCCCAUUUGAUUUGAUGGUGGGCUUAAUCACCCGAUGGGGAAGAUACAGUGGAUUCUCCUUGGACACUGCAGCAGUUGUAUGUGAUGUAGAUCCUUCAGCCUGCCCAUAAUUCCAUGAGACUUUGUGUAGGCUGACAAUAGGAUACUGUGUUCUGAAUGGUAAGUUAAUUGGCUCUGGUGCAGCCACUUUCAAAGGAUUGUCUACUCCUUUGAGUUGAAUUACUUGUAUUGUGGGUAUUUUAGAAGCCACGUCAUCCUCAACGGAUAUAAUUG